ACUUUGCCACUACUUAUUUUCCUCAAUAGGUAAAGAUAGAAUUAGCCGCCUUCUUUUUCUCUAACAUUGGAAAAUGCAGUCAGGAAGUGCAGUCAGUGCUGGUGUGUGAUUGCAGCCAAAGACCGGGUACACUAUGACAUGUCCUUAGCCAUAUAGAUUGUUUAUAUAAUGGACUUUGUUCAUUUGUUUUUUGUUUGUUUAUUUCUUCUUCUUUUUUUUUUAAAUUCACAGGUGCAGUGCCAGAAAUGUGGUGCAUACAAACACAUGCGUUGUUCAAAGUCUGUUUGUGGCAUCUGUAUCUUCUGUGAGAGGCCGUAAAGCCAAACUGCCCGCAAUGAUUCUUGACAGGCCUAAGAAGGCCAAAACUAAAGUAACAGUGUUUAGUGUUCUGAGUGAAGAGGAGGCUGGGGAGCUAGCCCUCAGGUUUGCCGGAAGAUUGGCCUGCGAUGUCACAAGAGACAUGGUCUGUAAAGGCAUCGACCAUUCAAGUGCUGAUAUGACAAAACACACCCUUCGCAAAAUCCAACACAACCUUAAACAUGAACUGACUGAUUCCUCAACCUUCAGUUUGCUGACACACACCUUUGGCCCUGCUGCACUGGAUUCUGUCAUUUUGUUCCUGUGUGAAAAACUUGAUCUUGUCUCUUGAAUAAUGAAACCUUUUGUUUGUUCUGUAAAUCAGAAUCUUGAAAAUUGUUCACUGUUGU